rnacentral:rRNA from 1 species
CAUGGUUGUCGUCAGCUCGUGUCGUGAGAUGUUGGGUUAAGUCCCGCAACGAGCGCAACCCCUACGUUUAGUUGCUAACGCGUGAAGCGGGCACUCUAGCGAACUGCCGUUGACAAAACGGAGGAAGUGGGAUGACGUCAAAUCAUCAUGCCCUUAUGUUCUGGGCUACACACGUGCUACAAUGGCCGGUACAGACGGACGCAAAGCCGCGAGGUGGAGCAAAUCCUAAAAAGCCGGUCUCAGUUCGGAUUGCAGGCUGCAAUUCGCCUGCAUGAAGUCGGAAUCGCUAGUAAUCGCAGGUCAGCAUACUGCGGUGAAUACGUUCCCGGGCCUU